GGGAUGAGGUCAUUCAAAAGUCACAUGUUCUUGAGACGGAGGCUGUGUGUACUAGACAUCACCAUAAAGUGAUAUCAGCCCUAAAUUAAAGUAGCAGUUAUUCAUUUUUUACCUGAGCCCCUAAGUCUUGUUCCGUGAAACCAGUGAAGGGCUAUUCGAAAGCAUACUUUCUAGUACAGCUCUCGCUGGCUUGAAAGAUGAAACUCUCCUUAGUCAUUCUGAAGCAUUACUGCAGUCCAGAUGUAUAGUUCAUAUCUUCCAGCAAACGUCUGUGGGAAUUAUUUCCUUCCAGAGGUAUUAGAUUAUAUUUUUCCAAGUCAACUCUUCCUGGCUGCCCUUCAAGGUUCUAAAGAUUCUCUACUAUUGUAGUGUAACUAGUAAGAGGCAAAACCAUGAGAAUCAGAGAGAACUGCGCUUCAUGAUGCUAUGCAAUCCCCAGGAGAAGCACGUUGAAAGCUGAAAAGAAGACUGAGAUGUGUUGGCGGGCUUCUCAAGAUCCCUAUCGAUGGCAGAAGGCUGACAUGAGUUGCCCAUAGUACGGGUUUCCCAAUGUAGCAGAUGACUCUAGCAGCUCUAGCUUCAGCAUCUUCGUAAGUUCAAGUGAAAAGGAAAAGAGAAUCUCUUUUUCUUCAACAAUUUCAAACUAAAAUCUUGAGUCUGACUUUUCCUGGCCAGAAUUAAAUUUUUACUUAUCCCUGAAAAACCAUCAAUGCUACGUUCGUGAAUUUACCAAUUGAGGCAGAAUUUAGGUCACAUGACUCUCCAAAGCCUCUUCAAAACCACAUGACUCAGAGUGAGGCAGAGGUAUUUGGGAUAUUUUCAACAGGAGAAAGGAAAAUGAAUGGAGGGUGCCAAAACAACUUAUGUCAAUUAUACAAUUAUAAGUACAACCAAAAGAAAGUAUGGAAAUCAGUAUUUUCACCUAUCUUAA